rnacentral:rRNA from 1 species
GAGUUUGAUCGUGGCUCAGAUUGAACGCUGGCGGCAGGCCUAACACAUGCAAGUCGAGCGGAUGACGGGAGCUUGCUCCUUGAUUCAGCGGCGGACGGGUGAGUAAUGCCUAGGAAUCUGCCUGGUAGUGGGGGACAACGUUUCGAAAGGAACGCUAAUACCGCAUACGUCCUACGGGAGAAAGCAGGGGACCUUCGGGCCUUGCGCUAUCAGAUGAGCCUAGGUCGGAUUAGCUAGUUGGUGGGGUAAUGGCUCACCAAGGCGACGAUCCGUAACUGGUCUGAGAGGAUGAUCAGUCACACUGGAACUGAGACACGGUCCAGACUCCUACGGGAGGCAGGCAGUGGGGAAUAUUGGACAA